CCCUACUUAAUUAUAUAAUUUCUGCUGAUCUUGUCAACAAAACAAGAAACCAUUCCUACUAGAGGAGGACUUGUUUAAUAGAAACGUUUCUGCAUGCCUCUUUAAAUAUCUUUUUUAUAAAUCUAGACUAUUGUUUUUGGGUUGUAAAAACCUUUAUGCAUGUCUCUUUUGAAUUAUUUUGUUAUAAAUCCAAACAAUAAUUUUAAAUCUUUCUUAACCAGAUUAGAAGAUACACAUGUAAUACUAAUAAUAAACAAAAGAUUCGUAUCCGAAGUUUCUCAUUCCAAUGGAUUUGUCUUCUCUUAUUAGAAGAUACAUGUAUUUGUAUACAAGAUAUCCGAAUCCAAAGUUUCCUUUUUUUUUUG
rnacentral:lncRNA from 1 species